rnacentral:rRNA from 1 species
GACGAACGCUGGCGGCGUGCUUAACACAUGCAAGUCGAACGGAAAGGCCCUGCUUUUGUGGGGUGCUCGAGUGGCGAACGGGUGAGUAACACGUGAGUAACCUGCCCUUGACUUUGGGAUAACUUCAGGAAACUGGGGCUAAUACCGGAUAGGAGCUCCUGCUGCAUGGUGGGGGUUGGAAAGUUUCGGCGGUUGGGGAUGGACUCGCGGCUUAUCAGCUUGUUGGUGGGGUAGUGGCUUACCAAGGCUUUGACGGGUAGCCGGCCUGAGAGGGUGACCGGCCACAUUGGGACUGAGAUACGGCCCGGACUCCUACGGGAGGCAGCAGUGGGGAAUAUUGCACAAUGGGCGGAAGCCUGAUGCAGCAACGCCGCGUGCGGGAUGACGGCCUUCGGGUUGUAAACCGCUUCCGCCUGUGACGAAGCGUGAGUGACGGUAAUGGGUAAAGAAGCACCGGCUAACUACGUG